GCGCUCACUUCAGCAGCACAUGUACUAAAAUUGGAAUGAGCGAGAGAUGAUUAGCAUGGCCCUUGUGCAAGGAUGACUCACAAAUUUGUGAAGCAUUCCAUAUAUGA
ensembl:snRNA U6 U6 spliceosomal RNA